rnacentral:rRNA from 1 species
UGACCAGCGGAGGGAUCAUUACCGAGUUUACAACUCCCAAACCCCUGUGAACAUACCAAUUGUUGCCUCGGCGGAUCAGCCCGCUCCCGGUAAAACGGGACGGCCCGCCAGAGGACCCCUAAACUCUGUUUCUAUAUGUAACUUCUGAGUAAAACCAUAAAUAAAUCAAAACUUUCAACAACGGAUCUCUUGGUUCUGGCAUCGAUGAAGAACGCAGCAAAAUGCGAUAAGUAAUGUGAAUUGCAGAAUUCAGUGAAUCAUCGAAUCUUUGAACGCACAUUGCGCCCGCCAGUAUUCUGGCGGGCAUGCCUGUUCGAGCGUCAUUUCAACCCUCAAGCCCUCGGGUUUGGUGUUGGGGAUCGGCGAGCCUCACGGCAAGCCGGCCCCGAAAUAUAGUGGCGGUCUCGCUGCAGCUUCCAUUGCGUAGUAGUAAAACCCUCGCAACUGGUACGCGGCGCGGCCAAGCCGUUAAACCCCCAACUUCUGAAUGUUGACCUCGGAUCAGGUAGGAAUACCCGCUGAACUUAAGCAUAUC